UCAUGGGAAAAAAUUUGGGACACUGAACCAGGUAUGAGUUUCAGGUGUUCUGUGUAGCCUGUGAAUUUCCUCCCUAUAUUUGUUA
ensembl:misc_RNA Gm28000 predicted gene, 28000